UCCAAAUAAAUAUUAUAUCCAAAGCAAUGAUUUCAUUCUGACCCAGUCAAUAGGAAAUGCAACCUUACUUACAUAGCCUACCACACAAGACAUGUUAGAAUAACAGCUUUGAAGAAGCCUAAUUUUUUUUAGAAUGAUAAAGAUAUAACUUAUGAAUUAAAAUACUCACGUUUUCAAAGACUUUGAAAAUGGAAGUUACAAUGCAAUUGCUUUCUAAGGUAUUCUUGCCCUUCUGAGAAAAUAAAGGCUUAAGUAACAUUUUUAUAAGUACAAUCAUUCCUCACAGAUCUGUGUAACUGAGUAUAACAUUAGUAUGUACAUAAAUAACUUGCACAAGAAAAACAGGGUUUAGAAUAACAUUUUAAUUAUUUUGUAAUAUAUGUGGAAUAUUUUGCUUUUCUCAGCUAUAUCCCGGGUCAAGGUCUGUCGCAUGUAUUUGAACCAGCUAUCUAUCUUAUUUUCCUAAGGGUCCCAGGAGGCAAUAGUCAGACAUUGUUACUUCAGCCUUCACUAAGGCAAAACAGUACAGAGAGCCCUGGACUGUAAUAGACAACAUGGCCAGGUCCCAAUUUCAGUUCCUGUUACACUGACAAGACUCCGGCAGGAGGAAGGUGGUGGAGAUUCAGUCUUACCAUUGAAUAGUCUAUCCCAAACUUGGAAGAAAGAAUUGCACAAUCAAUCAAGGAAUGUUUGUGUGACAGACAUUUCUAUAAAGAAGCCAAGGCACACAGUCUCCAUAAGUGGGAAGAUAAUAUGAUCCAUGUGUCUUUGAAGGCAGAUUGGAAAGAGUCCAUGAUGAGGACAAGAGCAGGGUUCUAGACUGCACUAUUAACCCCAUGUCAACUCAAGGCAGAGGUCUGGUGAAUGGAAGGCGUACUUCCACAGAGCCCGGGGUGGUGAAAUGGUUUGGUAUACGUCAGCACAAAUCUUUUACCACUAAUUGAAAACCCUCACAAAACAUGCCCUAAGUGGAAACUUUUAAAAUCAAUAGGAUUGUGUAAGAGGCAUUUUAUUUCUUUUCUCAUAUUAUAUGAAAAUAAGUUCUAUUAUUUACUCAUGUCUGUAAACCUCUCACAUAGUAGGCAGUCCUGGUAUAGUAAAAAAGAAUAAUUUUUAAAAAGGAUGGAUUGAGUCCCUAAAGAGAUUUUCAACUGGCUUGGGAACCUCCCUAAAUUUGCACGAUAUAAUUGUCACAGUAUGGUGGCAAUGGACCACCCCCCCGCCAGUGGAAGCAUAGGGUUAUGAGUGCGUUAGGUGGCUUCUGUCUGAGGUGUCUUGGAAGGAUAAGAACUCAGAAGAUGGAGUAAUUUGGGGGCCCAAGUCAGGAGCCUGAGUCCACAGGUUUCUA